CUCUUAGACACAAGAAGGGUGUUUACAGUUACGCCCGGGGGCGCCCGGCGACGCCCCGAGAAGGCGUUUAGGUUUAUUGCAACGUGGCAGCCGGGCCGUCAGAGCCGGAGGCGGGAGCGGCUGACGGCCCCCCUGUGUCCCACAAUGCCUUGCGGGCCGUUCGUCCUCUCAGUACGCAGUCGCUCCGGCCUUCUCUAGCCCAUCACGUGAUGCGAGUCUCACCGGCAGGGGGAAGUUGAGCGUCCGAGGCGGAUUUUAUUGUUAUUCUCCCGCUCCCCCGCCCCCGUCUUUUCCAGUUUGGGAAACCGCGGUCUAGAGCUGUCAAGCGACCUGUCCAGCCUGCUAAUGUAGUUCUCAAACUUUACUGUCCGUCGAGGAUGUCGGGAGCCCUCAUUUGAAAAAUGCAGACUCAAGUAUGUGGAGCCCACGAACGGGCAUGUUAAAUCAGCAGCUGUGAUGCUCAAGUGGCCACUCAGGAAGCACCUUCCUACGGGCUUCUCUCACGGAGAAUUUGGGCUUCCUUACAACAUGGCGACCUCAGGACAGCCAGACUACAGCGCUUCCACGGGAGCUGAAGACUUCCAGGGCAAGUAUUCUGGCUAAGAAGCUGGAAGCUGCACGGCGUUCUGCGAUCUGGCCUCAGAAGAAAUUAUUGGUGUGAUCUUUUGAUGAUGAGGCUCUUACAAGCUAAAUGACGGCCCUGUCUGGACCACGAUUUGACACAGGGAACCACACCAGAUGCUCCUGGCCCUUCUCUGCUGCAGCACGAGUCAUUCCG